CCCACACAUUGCUUCUCCUUCCUCCUUAUGGCAGCACACGGCGGGUACAUCCAGCGGCCGCUCGCUUUUGACGCCCCGGCCAUGCAUACCUGUGGUUGCUUCGUAGCACUCGCCUUGAGAUACCAGCGUGGAGGCAGUGAUGCAGACAAGAAGCGUCAUAACAAAAAGAAAAUCAGAUGUUGUGUUGGCUAUGGGAGGAGAUAUGCUCCUGUCAAGGGAGAUGGGGAAGCCGUGUUGUGCAGAUUAGGUGUUUGAUUUAGAAGAUUCACACAUUUCAAUUCAAGCAAAGUUUGUGUGAUGCCUGGCCAUUGCUUACGAUGCGUCGAGUUGUACCAUGCCAUGUGGGCGAUGGCCGAAAUCGCAAUUGCAAACGAAAUAGUUGGAUGGACUAUACCAGAUCGAGCAGAUGGUGAACGACAGGCUGCUGGUGAUUUUUUUGAUGACCACAUGAACAAUAGGAACACAUAAAACCAUAUUUACUUGACUGUCCAUGAACACAUGCUAGUGAUUUCAUGAGUUUCUAAAUAUGGUAAGAACUAUGAGCCUAGCCAUGGGUAAGUGGAUAUAGGACUUAUAUAUGAUUUGUAAUCUGCAUGCUCAUUCUUUCACUAUGAAACUCAUAAAUCUGGUGGUAUUAUAUAAAUUUGCACCCAUAUACUUGCUUAGUACUGCAUUGGAAAUUAAUCAAUAAUAUUGCCUGGAGCAGGGACCAGUUUGGAAGAAAUGCAGCUUUCUUCGGAGUAAGGAGUAACUUUAAUGAAGGCAUUUUUUAUGUAUCACAAACUCGAAAGAGGUCCUCACAAGAGAUAUCUUGAAAAACUAUGAAAAUAGCUAGAAAAAUAAAGAACAGAGUAACAACAAAUAUGCUUGUCGCUGAAUUGAAUUUCUGCUUAUAAUUCUCUUUGUUCUUCUAAAAAUAUUAGUGUAAAGCAGGAUUGCAUUUUACUCAGGCUAAAGAGGUUCAGAUUUGAGUGAAGCAUUAGAUUGAGCUGAUGAAAUCAAAUGCACUGGAGAUGUUCGCAAUAACAUUUUGAACUUACAAGUGAAUCCUCCAAGUACAACAUGUGGAUGUGAUUCAUUUAUCAGGGAUGCCACAAUGAGCAAAAUGAAUUGUGAGCAUGUCCAUCUUUGGGGAGAAACUAGCCACCCUGGACUCAUUGGUGGGUCUUCUACCAGUUUGGCUACUGUUGCACUUGAAUCAUGGUCCGGCGACUGCUGGUCAUUGCCUGUGUUUUAUGUGUCUAACCAUGAGCCACAAAAGCGAAAUGUGCUUCUUCAUGUGCAUGGUCCUAAAAUUAUCGGCAAAUGCUUAUGACUAUAUGCCAUUGUAUUCUUUAACAGCGUGGAUCAAGAAGAAGCACAAUGUGCCACAGAAGUACAAUUCUCUUCCUAACACCUGAAGGAUUUACCGAUCAGGUGCUUGUAAAAAAGUCUUGCUGCAUCGCCUAGAAGGUUCUUCCUGAAUCCUGAUCCCUUCAUUACCAAACUUCCUCUGCUCUGUAGCUUCUUUACUAUAUCAUCCAGUUGGCAUUAUGAUUAUUUUUGCUGCCUUCCUUGAAUAUGUUUACAGAUGAGUGAGUGUUUGUAUUAUGAGACACACCUGCCAUGUGCUAGCGUUUAUUUUGGAAGAAGUCAUCAUGGGGUUUACUUUGGUAGGAUAGUGUCUUUGCGGAGAUAGACACACUUAAUUACUAUCCAACUUAGAAUUUAUGUUAUAGAAACGGAAAAAUCUUGCUGCCACCACUUAGGUAAUAAGUUACUAUUGGCUGUAGUUACAUGCUUACUAAUAGCUUCUCAGAGUUUGAUAGUGGAGCUCAUGUUCUAAGUCCCCUUAAUUUUAUUGCAUGGUAUUUUGUUCUACAUUAUUAUGCCUUUGGGUGACGAUGCUUAAGGUGAACGUAUGCAAUCAUCAUUUCGUUGUCGCAAU